CCGCGCCUCGCCCAGGACAGUUACACUUAGAGGCCUUCAAAAGAGGGAGAAUGCCCUCCCCAUAAGAACCCAUGCAAAGAGCUGUGCCAGGGUGAUGAAUUGUGUCCGGCUGAACAGAAGUGCUGCACCACAGGCUGUGGUCGGAUCUGCCGAGACAUUCCUAAGGGUAUGUUGGCAUGAGGGGCAAAAUCUGGGCAUACUCUCUGACAUUGCCUCUGGGAUAGAUGGAAGUAGAGAGCUUCCCACCUUCUAGGUUGCCUCUGGAAGUCUCCCUUGCCUAGAGUACUUCUUCUUUACUCUUUUAGGGUCCCUCCUCCUUUAAUUAUUCAGUGCCCCCAGUUGUUUGCCUUCCAUCAGGAAAGAGCGCACCAUUGAUUAUCUAUGUCUUUUACUUUGGACUCAAAGUUCCUGUGAAGGCUGGAGGGAAGAGUUGUAAAGGGAAGGCUGUGUAAGAUAAUGAUUAAGAGAGUAGACCCUAGAGCCAAGCAGACCUUUUUAAGCCUUAAGCCUUAGCUCUUUAUAAAUCUUAAGCUUUUAGCCUCAGUUUCCUCAUCUAUAAAAUGGGGAUAAUUGUGAGGAUCAAAUAAGAUGUUCAUGGCACAAGGUAAACGUCAGUAAAUGUUACAGUAAAUAUUUGCUAUUACUAUUGUUGUUAUUAUUGUCUCUUUGUCUUAGCACCAGGGUUGAGAGGCUUAAAUAAAUCUCAGGACUUCCUUUUUCUGUUUUUCCCUUCUGCUGUGCCCGUGGGUGUUGCCAGGCACUAUUUUCUCUCUCUCUCUCUCUUUUUUUUUUGAGACGGAGUUUCGCUCUUGUUGCUCAGACUAGAAUGCAGUGGCGUGAUCUCGGCUCACCGCAACCUCUGCCUCCCGGGUUCAAGUGAUUCUCC
rnacentral:lncRNA from 10 species